rnacentral:rRNA from 1 species
AAGAGACAGCAGCAGCCGCGGGAAUACAGAGGGUGCGAGCGUUAAUCGGAUUUACUGGGCGUAAAGCGUGCGUAGGCGGCUUCUUAAGUCGGAUGUGAAAUCCCUGAGCUUAACUUAGGAAUUGCAUUCGAUACUGGGAAGCUAGAGUAUGGGAGAGGAUGGUAGAAUUCCAGGUGUAGCGGUGAAAUGCGUAGAGAUCUGGAGGAAUACCGAUGGCGAAGGCAGCCAUCUGGCCUAAUACUGACGCUGAGGUACGAAAGCAUGGGGAGCAAACAGGAUUAGAUACCCGGGUAGUCCCUGUCUCUUAUAC